CUUCUUUUAAAUAUAGUCUCCUCCUUUACUGUGUUGGUUCCCUUUAUAUAUUAAAACGUUUCUAUCAUAUCCCCCCCUGUCUCGUCUUUCCUCCAAGCUAUACAUGUUAAGAUCCUUUAACCUUUCCUGGUAAGUUUUAUCCCGCAAUCCAUGAACCAGUUUAGUAGCCCUUCUCUGAACCCUAUCUAAGGUAUCAAUAUCCUUCUGAAGAUACGGUCUCCAGUACUGUGUACAAUACUCCAAGUGAG